rnacentral:lncRNA from 1 species
UAAACUCAAGCUCAAAUAAACAUAAACCAUUCAUCAAGCAAAUUUAAGCCAUCAAGGAUAAACAACUUACAUACACAAUGGGCACACAAUGGGCAGACCAUGGAGGCGUUUUAAGGAGUUUCCCUCGCAAGAGCACCUAUGCUUCUCUCUCAAAAGCAUCCUCUUCUUUUACUGUGCUAAAAACUUUUAUAACCUUUCUCUUUAUCAACGCUCAGAAAAAACGAAUGAGAGAUCUAAUAAUUCUAUGUAUGUGGGAGAGCCAAACACCA